rnacentral:rRNA from 1 species
ACAUGCAGUCGAGCGGUAGCACAGAGAGCUUGCUCUCGGGUGACGAGCGGCGGACGGGUGAGUAAUGUCUGGGAAACUGCCUGAUGGAGGGGGAUAACUACUGGAAACGGUAGCUAAUACCGCAUAAUGUCGCAAGACCAAAGUGGGGGACCUUCGGGCCUCAUGCCAUCAGAUGUGCCCAGAUGGGAUUAGCUAGUAGGUGGGGUAACGGCUCACCUAGGCGACGAUCCCUAGCUGGUCUGAGAGGAUGACCAGCCACACUGGAACUGAGACACGGUCCAGACUCCUACGGGAGGCAGCAGUGGGGAAUAUUGCACAAUGGGCGCAAGCCUGAUGCAGCCAUGCCGC